UACGUAAGGGGCAAGCGUUAUCCGGAUUUACUGGGUGUAAAGGGAGCGUAGACGGUUUGGCAAGUCUGAUGUGAAAGGCAUGGGCUCAACCUGUGGACUGCAUUGGAAACUGUCAGGCUUGAGUGCCGGAGAGGCAAGCGGAAUUCCUAGUGUAGCGGUGAAAUGCGUAGAUAUUAGGAGGAACACCAGUGGCGAAGGCGGCCUGCUGGACGGUAACUGACGUUGAGGCUCGAAAGCGUGGGGAGCAAACAGG
rnacentral:rRNA from 1 species